GGGGUUGUAGCUCAAAUGGUAGAGCGCUCGCUUUGCAAUGAAGAGGCACAGGGUUCGAUCCCCUGCAUCUACA
rnacentral:tRNA from 1 species